GACGCAUCACUGGUGUUCGGGUUGUCAUGCCAAUGGCACUGCCCGGUAGCUAAAUGCGGAAGAGAUAAGUGCUGAAAGCAUCUAAGCACGAAACUUGCCCCGAGAUGAGUUCUCCCUGACUCCUUGAGAGUCCUGAAGGAACGUUGAAGACGACGACGUUGAUAGGCCGGGUGUGUAAGCGCAGCGAUGCGUUGAGCUAACCGGUACUAAUGAACCGUGAGGCUUAACCUUACAACGCCGAAG
rnacentral:rRNA from 1 species